GUCAUUUGUAGUCCGGCUUUGGAAUUCUCUUAAGCAAAACCCCUGUGCUUCACUUGGUUGCAGUUUCUGCAGGAAGGACGGACAUGACAGGGCUUUCAUUCUUUAGCUUCUAGAUCAUCGCCUGAACUCAAUAACCUCCGUAAAUCUAAAAAAUCAUUCAAUCAGUCAAAGUUCCCCGACACAAAAUUAAGAAACCUCUCAAAGCCCAAAACUGAUCAACUUCAAAGGCAAACCAACAACACUGAUGCUACUUUGACAGGUAAUAAUAGUCUUUCUUCACUAAUCUCUCAGCUUAAAAAAACCCAACUCCAACCAAAAGGUUAUUUCAUAGAAAAGGAGCCUGCCUCGUGGAUAUUGGCUUGCGAUACAUUAUUCUGCUGCCUGUCAGAGAAGUGUAUGCCAAGAGAGGCAGGUGCAUUAUCGAGGAAACUCGGGGAGGGAGGUUACUUGCCUGACAUUUCGACGUCUAACAUCCCAGUGACUUGUUUGUUAUAGGGUUUGGAUGUCAAUGAGACGUGUGGGAUGUUGGAUAGAUUUAUUGAGCAGGGUGCGAAGUUGGGGUUUAGCAUUUACAUUGAAUUGAUUGAAACUUUGUACAAGGCAGGAAGAGGUAUUGAGGGUGAUCCGUAAUAGAAUCAAAUGGUCAAAGAUGGACUUGUGUCAGAUGUCUUUUCUUAUAACAUGCCAAUUGAUUGCUUCUGCAAAGCCAAUGUGAUGAACGAGGCAGCAAAGGCUUUCAAAGUGAUGCAAGAUAGAGGUUGAUGAUGCUUUAGGCUGUUUCAGUGAAAUGGUGGAGUGGGGUAUCUCUCUUAAUGCUGUCACGCACAAUAUAUUGAUUCGUUCUCUGUAUGUUAGAGGGGAUGCUGCUAGAUCAAUGAAACUCUUGCUAGACAUGCAAAAACAUGGAAAAAGCCUUGAUAUUUUAUCUGCAUUUCUUGUUGGGGUGUCUAUAUUCUGCUGCAACCUAGUUGUUUGACAGAUAACGAACAGAUGUUCCUAAAAAAUUAGUGAUUUUAAUUUGGGAGCAUUAACGAUAAUUUUCUGAUCCUUCACAGGGAAGGCAGACGAAGAUGGGCCUCAAACAGGCACAGGAAUUGCUGGCGGUAUGCCUCAAACAGGCACAGGCAUUGUAGAUGCUGAUCCGGCUGAAGUUGUUGCAAAAGCUUUGCUAUGUUUCAACAAUAAAUCCGUUAGUGGGAUCUUGAUUUUAUCCACCCAUGGUAGGAUACGUGCGGUCGAGUACGUUGAAAUAUGUUCGAUUAAUCAUCGCUGCUUCACCCAGUGAUCCUUUUAUGUGCUUGUUUCUGACUUGCAUAUUAAUGUUGCCUAUUAGGUUUAUAAUUUCCUUCACUUCCCUCCACUGCUGGGUUAAGUACUUGCGUUUCUGGGAGCUGUCUCUGGUGUGGCCUUUCUUAGGCCUUGGUCUUUGUUCAUUUUCUCUUUAGCACCAAAAGAGUUAUCAUGUGAAACGUUUAAUCAGUGGUCAAAAUAUUCUUUCAUGCUUCUUACGAAUUGCUUUGGCAUUGAUUUUUGCUAAGUCCCGGAUAUACAGCAGCUAUCAAGAAGCCUAUAGAUUGACCUAGACUGGUAACCUUAAUGUGCUUCCUGAACAUGUUGAUCCCUACUGCAAUGGACCGUGCCUUUCAGAGACACAUUUGGUGCUCAACUGCAUCGAAAACAUCACGAAAAACUUUGUUUUCUAUAAUAAAGCCACCAUAGAGGAUGUUCGAGACACAAUCAAGGCAGGAUGUAGCUACGGUCCCGAAAGAGGUAAUUUUGACGUGUCUGAGCACCUUCAAGCUGAACAAAACAAUGCAUACAACACCGCGAAUCAGAUUCUGCUAGGACUUGGCUUCAUGUUUGCUUUGCCUGCGUUAUUGCUUUGAUAUUUAUUAUGAUGUCUGCAAUUUGUGGUUGGAGGUUUCUUGUUUUCAGAGGGAUUUCUCCCAGUUGAGAUGUUCUGAGAGAGGAGACGAGCGUUAUUUUUCGCUAGCUUGAAGUUAAUGUACUCAUUUUGGCACUCAGAAAGAAAAUAACAAGUUAUAUUUGUGUCCUGGUAUGUAAUAGCAAAAUGUGCAGUUUUGAAAGCUU